rnacentral:lncRNA from 1 species
UUAAUUUUAAUUUCUAAAUAGUUUAUUUUUCAAAAAAAUAUCAAAAUAUUCACAUUUCUUAAUUAGAGAGGAGGCACAUCCAAUUAAGCUAGAGAGGAGGCGUCAUUAGCCUUGGAGCAUGCAUGCAAAAUCAAUGCAUGUAGACGCCACAUGCAUUGGCGCAUGCUUGUGUGUGUGUGGAGCCUAUUGCUUUGGAGCAUGCAUGGUUUGCUUCUUCUAUAAAUACCACCCUCGCAUCUAUAUAUUAUUUCAUACAACUUCUUACCCUAUUC